rnacentral:tRNA from 1 species
GAGGGUAUAGCUCAGUGGUAGAGCACAUGCUUUGCAUGCGAGAGGUCCUGGGUUCAAUCCCCUGUACCUCCA